AGGCAAGAAACUUCGGACUCAAGGGUUUUACAUCAACCCCAGUCCCAGCUUCCAGGUCCAAAGCGUGGGCGGUCACACAGCUUCAUUCAUCAUAUUUAUGAAUGAUGUGGAGAUGGGUGGAGACAUUGUCUUUCCCUCCGCCAACGCUCGCGUUCACCCGUCAGCGGGAACAGUACUUUUCUACUUCCCGUCCUUCAAGAAGUAUCAUGCAGUCUGUCCAGUGGCUUACGGAACAGAAUGGCUACUUUUUCACAGUGUCUUUGAAAAGACAGACCCGCGCUUUUGCCGUGUGCACGAGGACCCAGCUUUGUGGUGAUACCAGAACAGAACGGAGCCUUGACUGUGUACAUCUCGUCCUCCUGUUGUUUUCUUUU